rnacentral:lncRNA from 1 species
AGUAGACAGCUUUGCAGGCUGUUCUUGUGUUUGCAGUCCCUGUGUAUAGCCUUCUCAAAAUACAAACGGCAUAUUUUGAGGUUGAAGACCUGAAAACUGUGACCCCUGUUGCCUAGCAACUGAGAAGCUCAGCCUCAACUCCGGGUGGGGGAGAUGAUGGAGAAAGGUACUGCAUUUUGAUAAAUUGAAGGUUUGUGGAACGCUGCAUUGAGCAAGU